UUACAAUAACAUCGCCUAUCGGGUACGAUGCGAGCAUCGUUGAUUAAUGUCUAUAUUUUAUUCUAACGCCGCAGCCAUGCAGUGUUCAAAAACGGUUAGGUGGUGUUUCGUUUUUAUAGCUGUUCUGUUUAUACUGACGUUUGUGAUUUGCUUAAAAUAUUCCGACCAUUUUGAAUUCACCAUUUAACCAGUUUUAUAAUUGUAUAAUGUGUCAAAAACAAGUGUACGAAUUCGAUGAAAAAUCUAUAACAUUCUCUGCUGAAUAUUUUUCUCGGCUGAUUGCUGAACCUAUUCAUAUAGGUACCUACUAUAGUAUAUUAUGUAGAUAUUAUAGCCACAUAAACUUAUAAGUUAUAACUUUCGAUUGCAGUUUUAUUAUAGUGCAUAAUAUAUUAUAUUACAUUGAAUUGUCAUAUUAUAUUACGGUGUCGCACCGUGUCUGCGGUAUUCGAUCACCCGCCAUAUAAAUCACACGCAAACGAAUCGAUGAUGGAAAUUCCAUUUUUAGCGUAUCAUGUGCAUGAUCACGGAGAACGAAAAAACUGUGCUGUGCACUGUGCAGUCGAUGACAUAUUAUAAUAUGCACGCAUCGUCAUCGUGAUGGUCACCUGCCACCUGCAGCUGCGACGUAAUUGAAAAAACGAAGGAAUCUGCACUGUGUUUAUAAUAUAAUAUGUUAUUGACAUGACUAUAUAGUGAGUUGUGGUGACUUCUGACUCGAGCUGUAGAGCACUAUAAUAUAUCAGCUGUGAUAUAAACCAUGAACAAAGAUAUAACUAUUUUACUCAAGCCCGGAUUAAGACAUUUUGAGGCCCAGGGGCCAAAGUUUUAAAUGAGGCCCUUGUACGAAAAAAAAAUAUUAAUGUAUAUAAUGUGUUCCGGAGUGAAGUGACCAGCUGACGUCAUAUAAAA